rnacentral:rRNA from 1 species
UACGUAGGGUGCAAGCGUUGCCCGGAUUUAUUGGGCGUAAAGAGCUCGUAGGCGGCCUGUCGCGUCGACCGUGAAAACCCGCAGCUCAACUGCGGGCUUGCGGUCGAUACGGGCAGGCUGGAGUUCGGUAGGGGAGACUGGAAUUCCUGGUGUAGCGGUGAAAUGCGCAGAUAUCAGGAGGAACACCGGUGGCGAAGGCGGGUCUCUGGGCCGAUACUGACGCUGAGGAGCGAAAGCGUGGGGAGCGAACAGG